CCAUGUUUCUAGGCAACUCCAGGAGUCGGCAGACCUCCACGCUGCUGUCCUGCCUGUUCCAUCAGCACCACCCACUUCUCUUUAGUGACCUGGCAAGGGUUCUUAAAACACGGCCGCCUUCGACGUCGGGUGAGAGCCUCUGCACCAUCUCUCUGGAGUCUGGAGGCUGAAUGUGAGGCCUACUUCAGUAUGUUGAGACCCAGUUGACACCUGCACAACAGCACCAUGAGUGUGGCUUUCAUCUUUGCGGCUGCUUCCCCCAGAAUCCUAAGACCUUCUCCAAGGAAAUUUUCGGGAAUGAGCAUGGACUUGAUGUCAGAAGACCUAUGUGCCAUCUCAGCCUGCUCCUUGCUGGCUAGUAUGAUGGUGCUGCUUGGAGUCAAGGAAGAGCUGGGUUCUGAGAUGCUAGCUCAGGAUUCUGGGAGCAAGGAAGCAGAUGGCACCUGGAGGUGGUGGCCAGAGCAAAAUUCCCCGGAUGAGAGAGAGAGAGUUUGGAAUUGUUUAAAGAGCAAGAGACUGGAGAGAAAAAAUGGACCCCAGGAAUGGAGCUGCAGGGACCCUGGAAAAAGGGGACGCCAUCACGCCACUGUCGAGUUCUGUCAACUGUCAAGUUAAUUAGAACAAAAUUAAAAACACAUUUGCCAAGAUGUUCUGCAGCCAAACCAGUUAAAUAGAGAUUUUAACAAAAUUGAAAGCAUAUUAUACUGAGAUUUGUGGAUCCUGGCCCGGUGAGUGAGUGCUGAAAGUGUGAUAAAAUAACAAAAUUGCUGCCUAAUAAUCUAUAGAAUAAUAUUGUCAACUAAUGGAUUAUAAUAAAAUAAAAGCUGU